UUGCAAUGACUGUGGACUCUUAUUCAGGCCUGACAGGGCACAACUUAUUUGUCAGGGCUGACAGUCCAUUUUUUCCUCAGUCAAAAUGUGGAACUGAGAAGGAAAUGUUGACCGUCAUCUCAGGCAUGUGUUAGAUGACACCGUCUCACCAGGACAGGUGUGAUAAAGAAUUCGAGGAACGCUGCUUCCAGGUCGCAUCCUGUGGAAGGGGGCUGCUGAAACGUCUGAGUCCAUCCCCACCUCCUCAUCUACCUUGUUCACCAGAACUGGUGCUGUGCGACCUUUGGCUGUUCUCUCAAGUAAAAGGGAUCACAAAAGGAGAGAGGAGAGAAGCAUAAUAGAGGACGUGUCCUGAAGAAGCAGCAGGAGAUGCAAUCCAGAGAAGAGUAGAGAGUUUUGCUUUGACCCAGUCCUGGACUCACCACAAUAAUAGAACAGAUCGAUUAUUUGAUUCACACAUCACAUAGCCACUUUCAGAUCCAGAUUUCUUACACUGGACUUCCUCAACUCCUCUGUA